rnacentral:lncRNA from 1 species
UGCGUAGACUGGCGCGGCCUGUGUCUGGGCCUGUGCAUAGUAGGAUAGGAAGGUGCACCUACAGGCUAGGCCUGCAAUGCGUAGCUGACUAAGGAGGCAUGUUGCUGCCUUGGGCAAUGUGUUGAUGCCCCCUUGCGCGUCGUCCGCUGCUUGGGCAGUGUGCACCGCCAGUUGGGCGGUGUGCUGUCGCCAUCUUGGGUGGUGUGCCACCAUCAGUCGAGAGGCUUUCUCUAUUUUUUACACCGUUGUCACGUCAUGUCACGUCACUCCUUUCCCUUUCAACUUUCUCUCUCUUCAACAUAUUUGGCCACUUGGCACAAAUCUAACGGUCUCCAUUUUCUAUA